rnacentral:rRNA from 1 species
UACAGAGGUCCCAAGCGUUGUUCGGAUUCACUGGGCGUAAAGGGCGCGUAGGCGGUGCGGUAAGUCACCUGUGAAAUCUCCUGGCUCAACUGGGAGCUUGCAGGCGAAACUGCCGUGCUGGAGUGUGGGAGAGGUGCGUGGAAUUCCUGGUGUAGCGGUGAAAUGCGUAGAUAUCAGGAGGAACACCUGUGGCGAAAGCGGCGCACUGGACCACAACUGACGCUGAGGCGCGAAAGCUAGGGGAGCAAACAGG